rnacentral:lncRNA from 1 species
AUGAAUAGAAUGUUCCUAUUAAUUUUUCUUUUUUUCUUUUUUUUUUUAGGUAAGAAGUGGAUUUAUUUAGAGAGAAACACACUCCACAGGCAGAGUGUGGGCCAUCUCAGAAGGUCUCAAGGGUUUCCACAUCUGCAGACGGAAGAGCUUAAUCCUCCAUCAGUAUCCUCCGACAGCACAUUCAGUUGGGGGCAGUGUCUUAUCUUCCGACGUCCGUUCACCCUCAUGCUUCACACAUACUCUGCCACUGAUGGUUUCUUAGACUCUGGCUUUCUUCAGGUCCUUGAUAUCAACCAGUUACCCUUUGGGAGAAGAAAGGGCAUCAGCAAAAGAAGACCAACGAGCUUAAAUUUUCAAUGAACCUACUGUUUUCUCACAUGUACACGAGAUACCUGGUGUGUGAUACACCCAUGUCAGAACGUCCAGAAGGAGCAAAGUCCAGAAGUAGAAGAGAUUGUAAAGGAAUCCUAACCAGCACAAAGGUUGCUUGUCUGCUUCCUUAUUGAAGUCAAGAGGAGGAACAAGGCAGACAGGCCUUCUGCUGGGGGGAAGCACAGACUAUUCAUGUCAGAGAGAAAAAAAAGGUGCCCAAUUCCCAUUUGCUUCCAACUCUGCCUCCCUUGAGAAUAGUCCCCAAACUGAGGAGAAAAAGUAACAUCAUAUGGAAUAAAAUGAGGCUCCCGACAGUAGAGGAGAUGUUAGUGGAACCCUCUUCCUGGGGGCAAAGACCGCUGUCACAUUUCCCAUCUAGGUUGACUCACGUCCCUGAAUCAGUACUUCCAGGGAGAGGCGGUCUAACUAGAGACAGAUCCAUUUAUUAGUCCUAGAUUUCAACAUAGAUAAGGAAACUGAAACCUGUCCUUUUCAGCAAUUUUUAAAAUUUAAAUCAGUAAAGACCCACUAGGUAGGCUUCUCUAAGCUAAAGAUGACGUAGCUCUGGGAGGGACAAGUAAAUGGCUUUGGGGUGACAAAGUCAGGAUUUGAAACAGUCUUAUCAGGGUGGAAAAAGAGGAAAUUUUAUAAGGGAAAAUUUAAUAUAUUUGGGUUCAACAAAUUUAAUCAUCCAAGUGCGUAAUGGGGGUGCCUGAGAUGGGCUUAUGGAGGGGCCUGAAGGGGCUGGUUUUCCACAGGCUCCUUGUGGACCAGGAGUGUGGGGCUCAAGAGAGCCCAGGCACACACCGGAGGUGCCAACCCAGAACAAAGGAGGGGGUGCAGCCCAUUUCCACUCCCUGCUCCUUAGGACACGUGGAUGUCCAGUGUGGGGUGCAGGCUUCUGGAGACUAACAAAGAAG